UGUAGAGAUACUGAGACAACUAUGACAUCUCUAGAUCAAAUUAAAGCUUACCGUUUUCCAAACAAGUUAAAGAGGCGUUUGUAGACAAAG